UGGGUCGGCAAGACGGUCGCGUUAUCCCUUCGGGGGUACCGAGGAACGUCCGGGCUCCACAGAGCAGGGCGGUGGGUAAUUCCCACCCGGGGUAACCCGCGAGAAAGUGCAACAGAAAGCAGACCGCCGGGACUUUUCGAGGUUUCGGUAAGGGUGAAACGGUGGUGUAAGAGACCACCAGCGGCCCGUGUGAUCGGGUCGGCUGGGUAAACCUCGCCCGGAGCAAGGUCGAACAGGGAGCGUUACGGGC
rnacentral:RNase_P_RNA from 1 species